rnacentral:lncRNA from 1 species
AGGAAGCAGAGCUGAGCUUUACAGACUCAGAGCAGAAGAGCUGUCCUGAAGAGAUGUAGUUCAGUGGAGGUACCAGGGAAAGGACUCUCUCCAGCCUGCAGGCUGUCACUCCUGCUGGCUGGGCCUGGAUGGUGCCUGAAGGCUGCAGUGGGCUCCUGCUUUCCCAGCUCCUGUGAGCUUUCACUCCUGUUGGAUGGUGCCUUUCAGUCAUUUCUGCUGCUGUAAGUAGCCCAUCACCCACAUUCCUGUUGAAAGCAACCAACAGAAGAAUAUUUCUGUGGCAACUGAAAGUGCCUGACCAACAACACUAACUGGGGGAAGAAGGGUCUACUUUGCCUCACAGUUGGAAGAGAUGCAGUUCACCCUGGUGGGCAGGCAGGGCAGCAGGAGGCACUGAAGCAGCUGGUGAGACUGUGGCUGCAUCCGGAAGCAGAGAAAGAGGAAUCCAGUGCUCAGCUCUGCCAUUGUCUUCCUGACUCAGGCCAGGACCGGUCUGUGGGAUGGCGACACCCUCCUAGACACACCCAAAGAUCAAGACGGCAAUGAAGAUGAACUAAGACAUCAACCAUAGCUGCUCUAUUGUAUGUUACCUAUGUGACUUCUGUGCAAUUAUGUCAGGGCUGAGUGGGUUACAACACAGGGUACACCCAGCCCCCUGGGCAUUUAUUACCUGGCCCUUUAUGGAAAAGAAAAAGUGCGGGCCUCUGUUGUAUGGGAAGGUUUUCAGAGUGCCAGUUAGCUCACUGGAGAUGAGUUAACGGAGCAUGUGAAUAGCCACAGGGAAGGGCUUGCAUGCACCGCAGCUCACUGUGGGUCCCUCCCACUGGCUGUAAGUGUGUGCUUGCAUACCCCGAGCUGUGUGAUUCCUUGGCCUUGUAAGUCCUGGAGGAGAGGCUGGCAGAGGGAAACCCUCCCUCCCUCCCCUCCCUUCAACUUUCCCCGGAGCCGGACUUGGCUCAGCCUUGGUGGUGAUUUCAGUCACCUGCUGGUAACCUGGGCUUUACUCGACUCCCACCGUGCUAUAAACUUCAUAACAUAGAAUGUACAGCCGUUUCCUGUCAGCAGGCUUAUGGUGAUGCAGGUGGUGAUGUGUGUGGUGUAUGUAGAUAGAUGUGUUGUGGGCGUUGGGAGAUGGGGUCAGUGCUCUAGGGUAUUGGGGUUCCUCUAUCACCUCUGCUUGUUUUCUCUGACACAUCAUCUAUCGCUGACCAGGAGUACGCUUCUCUCUCUCUCUCUCUCUCUCUCUUUCUCUCUUUCCCCACCCCCUCUCUCCUAGCUAGCCUCAGAAAUCCUCAUUGUGUACAUAGGUGCUUUACAGACCUGUUUUCACAAGGUCUCUGAAAACUAAACUCUGGUCCUUUUGCUGGUACUGCAAGCUCUCAGAACCACUGAGCCAUCUCUCCAGACCUCACUUAAACCAUUUAAAAAUUAUUAUAUUCAAACUGUGUGUGUGUGUGUGUGUGUGUGUGUGUGUGUGUGUGUGUGCAGUGCACACACAGAGAUCAGAGGACAAUUUGCAAUUUGUGGGGUCAGUUCUUUCCUUCCUCACUAGUUAGGUCCUGGGGAUUGAAAUGUGGGUUUUGUUGUAAUCCCAGACCUCAAUGGUGGAAGAAAUACAUACAUACAUACAUACAUACAUACAUACAUACUACAUGCAUGUAUAUUUCAAGCUCGUCCUUAGUUACAUAUCAAGUUCAAGGCCAGCAUGGCCUUCAAGAACUCAGUCAUCAAAAACUAAGAGGCUUUAAUCUCAGCACUGGCAGAGGUAGGCAGGUUACUGUAGUUUGAGGCCAGCCUCAUCUAUAUAGCAAGCUCCAGGCCAGCACAGUGAGACCCUAUCUCAAAAAAACAAACAAAACAAAAAAAAAACCAAACAACAAAAUUGGAGCCAGCAAGGCAGCUCAGUGGGUAUGGACACCUAAUACUAAUUCUGAAGACCUGAGUGUGGUCCUAGAGCCCCAGAUGGUGGACGGAGAGCAUUGACUCCUGUGGUCUGUCUUCCCCUUGACUCCUGCCUCCAGAUACAAACCAGAUAAAACCCCAGAAGUGCCCAGUAAACACCAGUAGGAAGGCCAGUGUUGGGGGCUUACUACACAGUGGGUAAGACAUGAUCCUGCCAGUGUGUACGGGGUUUGGUUAGGGAGAAAGGGGCAGAGGAGGAAGCCGGCAGAAGACAGGAAGCUGUCUUCAGGGGAGCCCUCGCCCGGCCUACAGCGACCCUGGCGCUUGUGUGAAUGGGGGCACAGCUCAGAAGUGGGGACCACCUUCUUGUCCCAGGCAGCUAAUAACCUAAGUCAUCACAUCACCAGCCUGUAGCCGGGGACCAAGGGAUUCACCCAGGGUUUCACCCAGCCGGGGCCGGUGAAAGACUCGAGCAUUUGGAAACGAGAAAAUAAGCUAAGGAAGACAGCUGAAAUAUCGCAAAUAUUUUCCUGGGUAACUGAAGUGGAGAGUCCCAAACUGUUUGAAACCCAGGACUUAGGUUUAUUUGAAGCAGAUCCUAUAGAGUGCACUGCGGUCUGUCAGCGGGACUCCUUUUUUGACGCGAUCCAACCUGGUCGCUGCAAUUCUGCGUUGACUUUCCUAGCCAAGCAGACGACCAUGUGUUCACUGUGCAUCCGCUCAGCCAGCUAUGGAACGAAGGACGAUGGUUCCUGCUUCUUGAUGUACUUUUCAGGGCUGGUUUCUGAUCCACUUUGGGGGAGAGGGAAACAAGAGUGGAGGUAAUUUCGGGGAACGCCCCAAAAUGCCACACAUGAACAUUUUACGACAAUUAAAAGACCAUCUCGGUAGAGACAGGUGGAUUUCUGAGUUCGAGGCCAGCCUGGUUUACAGAGUGAGUUCCAGGACAGCCAGGGCUACACAGAGAAACCCUGUCUCGAAAAAACCCAAAAAAACCAACAACAAAGACCAUCUCAGCCGGGGGUGGGGAUGGGGGGGUGCACGCCUUUAAUCCCAGCACUUGGGAGGCAGAGGCAGGUGGAUUUCUGAGUUCGAGGCCAGCCUGGUCUACAGAGUGAGUUCCAGGACAGCCAGGGCUUUACAGAGAAACCCUGUCUCGAAAAACAAACGAAGAAAAAGACCAUCUCAUCUUUUGUGGUGCUGGUUUCAAUGUAGAACAUGCGGUGCCAUGAGAAGACUCUCUUGGGACUGAAGAGAAGUACAAAACAAACAAACAAACAAACAAACAAGGAGAUGUAAACUUUCAGCAGAGGACAAGUGAGCAGAGGCGAUAAGGAAGUGGGGAAAGGCCAGAGCAAGAGAAACUUGAAAAGUCUUUCAAGGGAGCUCUCAGAGAGCCAGGAGAGAGGGUGCGGCCACCUUUGAAGGUGGUGCCAGAGAAUGCAUGUUUGUAUAACUCUUUACUGACCUUAAAGUGUGAUCACAUUAGGGAGUAUAUUCUACUCAGCAGAAAGAUUCUUUUCAUAUUUAUUUGAUGAUGGUUUCUUGGGGCUGGAGACUUUUGGCCUGAUUUUUCCUUCAGACCAGAAUCCAGCUCUAUCCUCUCUCUCCAUGAGACAACCUCGGCAGCACAGGCAAUGUGACUGCAACUGGGGAUGCCAUGAAUGUAUAAAUAAACAUUGAAUUCCUAAGACAACAACAACAACAACAAAAUCCAGGGCCUAGAGAAAUGGCUCAGCAGUUAAGAGCACUGGUCACUCUUCCAGAGGACUUGAGAUCAGUUCCCUACACCCACGUGGUGGCUCAAUCAUCUAUAACUCCAUUUUCUGGGUAUUCCAUGCCCUCUUCUGGUCUCAGCAGGAGUACACAUACAUAGCACACAGACAUAGAGGCAUACACUCACAUAUAUAAUAAAAAUAAGCAAUUUUUUAAAAGAAAGGAACCUGAAAUAUCUUCUUACUCAUUUUUAAACUUUUGAUACAUGCUCAAAUGAUAGUAUUUUGAAUAUGUUAAAUACAUAUCAUUAGACUAUUGGUAUUUCAUUAUUUAACAUUUAAAAUGCAUGUGUAUUUAUGUGUGUAUAUGUGCAUGCAGGUGUGCAGGUGAAUUUGCACAUGGGUGUGCAUGUGUACAUUGUGAAGAGUCCAGAGGACAGCCUCAGGUUUCAUCCUCGGGAGCGUUCUCCACCUCCUUCGAGACAGACUUUCCCAUUAGCCUGGAUCUCAUUGUUAAGCCAGCCUGUCUACCUAGCAAGGCCGAGGUGUCCUCCCGUGUCUGCCUUCACAGGGCUAGGAUCAUGAGCCUUACCAUGCCCAGCCAUCUCAGGGCUUCUGGAGGCUGAACUCAGCUCUUUAUGCUUGCAAGGCAAGCACUUUCCUGUCUCAGCUAACUCUUUUUCAAAAGAUUCAUUUACUUUAUAUAUAUGACUACACUGUUGCUAUCCACUUUAGCUGUCUUCAGACACACCAGAACAGGGCAUCGGAUCUCAUUACAGAUGGUUGUGAACCACCAUGUGGUUGCUGGGAAUUGAACUCAGGACCUCGGGAAGAGUAGUCAGUGCUCUUAACCUCUGAGCCAUCUCUCCAGCCCCUCAGCCAGCUCUUAAGCUUCAUUUUUUUUCUUUUAAAAUAUGGCCAGACAUUAGGAACUGGAAUAGUGACACAAGCCUUCAUGCCAGCACUCAGGAGGCAGAGUGGAUCUCUGUGAGUUGGAGGACAGCCAGGUCUACAAAGUGAGUUGUAGUUUAGCCAAGAGACCUCCUGUCUCAACAAACAUGUUUAUGUGUGUAUAUAGGCACAUACACAUACACGUAUGUAUGUAUGUAUGUAUAUACACACACACACACAAUUAGAGUGGGAUGGGAUAUGCUGUUGUAUGCCUUUAAUCCCAGCAUCAGGAGGCAAAGGUAUGAAGAGCUCUGUGAGUUCCAGGCUAACCAGAGUUGCAUGGUAUGAGAGACGACCUCUCAAAACAAAGCAAUAAAUAGAUAAAGUAAAAUAUGUAUAUGUGUGUGUAUGUAUAUAUGUGUGUGUGUGUACAUGUGUAUGAAUGUAUUUGUGCAUAUGUGUGUGCAUGUAUACAUGUAUUUGUGAUGGUUUGUACUUGCUUGGCCCAGGAAGUGGCACUAUUAAGAGGUGUGGCCUUAUUGGAGUGGGUGUGUCACAGUGAAAAUGGGCUUAAUACCCUCACCCUAGCUGCCUAGAAGUCAGUCUUCCACUAGCAGCCUUCAGAUGAAUAUGUAGAACUCUCAGCUUCUCCUGCACCAUGCCUGCCUGGAUGCUGCCAUGUUCCUGCCUUGAUGGUAGUGAACUAAACCUCUGAAUGUGUAAGCCAGCCCCAAUUAAAUGUUGUCUUUAUGAGA